GAUCAUGGCUCAGGAUGAACGCUAGCUACAGGCUUAACACAUGCAAGUCGAGGGGAAACGACAUCGAAAGCUUGCUUUUGAUGGGCGUCGACCGGCGCACGGGUGAGUAACGCGUAUCCAACCUGCCCACCACUUGGGGAUAACCUUGCGAAAGUAAGACUAAUACCCAAUGAUAUCUCUAGAAGACAUCUGAAAGAGAUUAAAGAUUUAUCGGUGAUGGAUGGGGAUGCGUCUGAUUAGCUUGUUGGCGGGGUAACGGCCCACCAAGGCAACGAUCAGUAGGGGUUCUGAGAGGAAGGUCCCCCACAUUGGAACUGAGACACGGUCCAAACUCCUACGGGAGGCAGCAGUGAGGAAUAUUGGUCAAUGGGCGAGAGCCUGAACCAGCCAAGUAGCGUGCAGGACGACGGCCCUAUGGGUUGUAAACUGCUUUUAUAAGGGAAUAAAGUGAGUCUCGUGAGACUUUUUGCAUGUACCUUAUGAAUAAGGACCGGCUAAUUCCGUG
rnacentral:rRNA from 1 species